GCAGUGCCCCGGCCUGUCGCUGGUGCCCAGGAGGGCACGAGAGGAAAGUCCGGGCAGCGCAGGACGCUCCACUGGUGAAAGUGCCAGCAGUUGGUGACAGCUGGAGCCGGAAGAAGAAAACAACCGCCUUGCCCGGCAAGGUAAGGGUGAGAAGGUGGGGUAAGAGCCCACCAGCCAACGGGCAAUCGUUGGGCUGUUCCGUCUGGAGGCUGCAAGUUCGCGUAAACCGUCGUCUGAGGGCUGUCCGUCCGAGACUUCCGGUCACGACGGAGGGUGGAAUGCUUCAGCCGUGGGGUAACCCGCGGAGUAGAUAAAUGACAGGCACCUUGCACCAGCGAGGUACAGAACCCGGCUUACAGGGACACUGCUUUC
rnacentral:RNase_P_RNA from 1 species